CGGACGGGUGAGUAACGCGUGGGUAACCUGCCUUGUACUGGGGGACAACAGUUGGAAACGACUGCUAAUACCGCAUAAGCCCACGGUGCCGCAUGGCACAGAGGGAAAAGGAGCAAUCCGCUUUGAGAUGGCCUCGCGUCCGAUUAGCUAGUUGGUGAGGUAAUGGCCCACCAAGGCGACGAUCGGUAGCCGGACUGAGAGGUUGAACGGCCACAUUGGGACUGAGACACGGCCCAG
rnacentral:rRNA from 1 species